UCAAGCAAGAAAGAGCACAAGGAGAAUGCCUUGGCACUGGGAGCCGAUGAAAGACGUGAUAAGCUGCGAAAAGCUUCGGGGAGGCGCAAACAGCCAUCGAUCCGGAGAUAUCUGAAUGGGGAAACCUACUUGAGCAAACCUCAAGUAUCCAUGCGUGAAUCCAUAGCGUAUGGAAGGGAACGCUGUGAACUGAAACAUCUAAGUAGCAGUAGGAGGAGAAAGAAAACUCGAUUUCCUAAGUAGCGGCGAGCGAACGGGAAAGAGGCCAAACCGAAGGACCUGGUUCUUCGGGGUUGUGGACUGCAUUUAGCAUUGCUGAGAGAUAGACGAAUGGUUUUGGGAAAGCCAGCCGUAGACGGUGAAAGCCCGGUAGACGAAAUCUUGAAGCAGCGAGCAGGAUCCAGAGUACCACGAGACACGAGAAACCUUGUGGGAAGCCGGGGGGACCACCCCCCAAGCCUAAAUACUCCCUAGUGACCGAUAGUGAAGCAGUACUGUGAAGGAAAGGUGAAAAGGACCCCGGGAGGGGAGUGAAAGAGAACCUGAAACCUUGUGCUUACAAACAGUCAAAGGCCUACGGGCUGAUGGCGUACUUUUUGUAGAACGGUCCGGCGAGUUACUAAUGCCAGCGAGGUUAAGUGGUCAGAAGCCACGGAGCCGAAGGGAAACCAAGUCUGAAUAGGGCGUAGAGUUGGUAUUAGUAGACCCGAAACCGGGUGACCUAUCCAUGUCCAGGUUGAAGGAACCGUAAAAGGUUUUGGAGGACCGAACACACAUGUGUUGAAAAACGUGGUGAUGAGGUGUGGAUAGCGGAGAAAUUCCAAUCGAACUCGGAGAUAGCUGGUUCUCCUCGAAAUAGCUUUAGGGCUAGCCUCGAGCUGGAGUCUAACGGAGGUAAAGCACUGAACUGACGCGGGGCCCAAAAAGGUUACCAACUCAUAUCAAACUAAGAAUGCCGUCAAGAUACCCUCGGGAGUCAGUCUGCGUGAGAUAAGUCGCGUGGACAAAAGGGAAAGAGCCCAGACCGACAGCUAAGGUCCCAAAGUACGUGUUAAGUGGAAAAGGAUGUGGGAUUUCAAAGACAACUAGGAUGUUGGCUUAGAAGCAGCCAUACAUUUAAAGAGUGCGUAAUAGCUCACUAGUCGAGAGAACCUGCGCCGAAAAUGUAACGGGGCUAAAACACGACACCGAAGCUACGGAUUCCUUACUAAGUAAGGAGUGGUAGAGGAGCAUCCUGCAAGGACGAAGCCAAAGUGAGAGCGAUGGUGGACGAAACAGGAGAGAGAAUGCCGGAAUGAGUAGCGAGAUACAUGUGAGAAACAUGUAGGCCGAAUAUCUAAGGAUUCCUGGGUAAAGCUAAUCUUCCCAGGGUUAGUCGGGGCCUAAGGCGAGGACGAGAGUCGUAGUCGAUGGAUAACAGGUUGAUAUUCCUGUACUACACAUAAUCAGAACUGUGGGGACGCAGGAGGAUAGGGAAACCGGGGAAUGGAAAGACCCGGUCAAGCGCAAAGCUGUGGGAGAUAGGCAAAUCCGUCUCCUGUAAGUGAAACGUGAUGAGGACUGAAAAAAAGUAAGGAAGUUUCCGAAUCCACACUGCCGAGAAAAGCCGCUAUUGCGUUAUGUGUACCCGUACCGUAAACCGACACAGGUAGAUGAGGAGAAAAUCCACAGGCCGACGGGAGAAGUGUUGUUAAGGAACUCGGCAAAAUGACCCCGUAACUUCGGGAUAAGGGGAGCCUCGCAAGAGGCCGCAGAAAAGAGGCACAAGCAACUGUUUAGCAAAAACAUAGGUCUAUGCGAAACCGUAAGGUGAAGUAUAUGGGCUGACGCCUGCCCGGUGCUGGAAGGUUAAAAGGAGAGGUCAGCGCAAGCGAAGCUUUGAAUUCAAGCCCCAGUAAACGGCGGCCGUAACUAUAACGGUCCUAAGGUAGCGAAAUUCCUUGUCAGGUAAGUUCUGACCCGC
rnacentral:rRNA from 1 species